rnacentral:ncRNA from 1 species
AAAUAUUAGCCAACUCAAGGCUGCUUGUUUAUUCAAGCUACGGGAGCAAGUCCGGUGAAAGUCCGGCACAGUACCGCCUGCUGUAAUCCCAAUAUUCUUGGGAGAGUCAGAACCCCGGCCUUAAGGCAACUAAGCUC